CCCCUUUCGGGGGAUAAGUAGAGUGGCGUCCGGGUGAGUAACACGUAGGUAAUCUACCUUUGGGUGGGGAAUAACAACCGGAAACGGUUGCUAAUACCGCAUAAUGCAGCGGCACCACAUGGUGACAGUUGUUAAUGCGGGGGAUCGCAAGACCUCGCGCCUGAAGAGGAGCCUGCGGCGGAUUAGCUAGUUGGUAGGGUAACGGCCUACCAAGGCGACGAUCCGUAGCCGGCCUGAGAGGGCGGUCGGCCACACUGACACUGAAAUACGGGUCAGACUCCUACGGGAGGCAGCAGUCGGGAAUUUUGGGCAAUGGGCGCAAGCCUGACCCAGCAACGCCGCGUGAAGGAUGAAAUCCCUCGGGAUGUAAACUUCGCAAGAACGGGAAGAAUAAGUGGAAGUUAAUACCUUCCAUGAUGACGGUACCGUUUGUAAGCUCCGGCUAACUCCGUGCCAGCAGCCGCGGUAAUACGGGGGGAGCAAGCGUUGUUCGGAUUUACUGGGCGUAAAGGGCGCGUAGGCGGCCUGUGCAAGUCAGUUGUGAAAUCUCCGAGCUUAACUCGGAACGGUCAACUGAUACUGCUCGGCUAGAGUGCGGAAGGGGCAACUGGAAUUCUUGGUGUAGCGGUGAAAUGCGUAGAUAUCAAGAGGAACACCUGCGGCGAAAGCGGGUUGCUGGGCCGACACUGACGCUGAGGCGCGAAAGCUAGGGGAGCGAACGGGAUUAGAUACCCCGGUAGUCCUAGCC
rnacentral:rRNA from 1 species